GUGGGGAAUUUUGGACAAUGGGCGCAAGCCUGAUCCAGCAAUGCCGCGUGCAGGAAGAAGGCCUUCGGGUUGUAAACUGCUUUUGUACGGAACGAAACGGUCCGGGUUAAUACCCUGGGCUAAUGACGGUACCGUAAGAAUAAGCACCGGCUAACUACGUGCCAGCAGCCGCGGUAAUACGUAGGGUGCAAGCGUUAAUCGGAAUUACUGGGCGUAAAGCGUGCGCAGGCGGUUUUGUAAGACAGGCGUGAAAUCCCCGGGCUCAACCUGGGAAUUGCGCUUGUGACUGCAAGGGUGGAGUGCGGCAGAGGGGGAUGGAAUUCCGCGUGUAGCAGUGAAAUGCGUAGAUAUGCGGAGGAACACCGAUGGCGAAGGCAAUCCCCUGGGCCUGCACUGACGCUCAUGCACGAAAGCGUGGGGAGCAAACAGGAUUAGAUACCCUUGUAGUCC
rnacentral:rRNA from 1 species